rnacentral:rRNA from 1 species
UACGUAGGGUGCAAGCGUUAAUCGGAAUUACUGGGCGUAAAGCGUGCGCAGGCGGUUUUGUAAGUCUGUCGUGAAAGCCCCGGGGUCAACCUGGGAAUUGCGAUGGAGACUGCAAGGCUUGAAUCUGGCAGAGGGGGGUAGAAUUCCACGUGUAGCAGUGAAAUGCGUAGAGAUGUGGAGGAACACCGAUGGCGAAGGCAGCCCCCUGGGUCAAGAUUGACGCUCAUGCACGAAAGCGUGGGGAGCAAACAGG